UGUUUGAGGCGGAGAGGGCGAGGCAGAGAGGAAGAGACUAGAGAGUGUGAGCUUGAGUGAGGCGGGGUGGGCGAGUCAAAGGGCAGAGAGUGUGAGCGGCAGAGAAGGCGAGGUAGAGAGAGUGAGGCGGAGAGGGCGAGGCAGAGAAGGCGAGGCAGAGUGUGAGGCGGAGAGGGCGAGGUACAGAGGCAGUGAGGCGGAGAGGGCGAGCGGCGACUGGCAAGGCAGUGAGGCGGAGAGAGUGAGGCGGAGAGGGCGAGGUCUGAGCGGCGAGGCAGAGAGGCUGUGAGCGGUGAGGAAGAGAGGCUGUGAGCUUGGGUGAGGCGGAGAUAUUGAGAUCGGAGAGUCUGAGUUUGA